rnacentral:rRNA from 1 species
CCUACGGGAGGCAGCAGUGAGGAAUAUUGGUCAAUGGGCGCGAGCCUGAACCAGCCAAGUCGCGUGAGGGAUGACGGCCCUACGGGUUGUAAACCUCUUUUGCCGGGGAGCAACGGGCGCCACGGGUGGCGCCCCUGAGAGUACCCGGAGAAAAAGCAUCGGCUAACUCCGUGCCAGCAGCCGCGGGAAGACGGAGGAUGCGAGCGUUAUCCGGAUUUAUUGGGUUUAAAGGGUGCGUAGGCGGAUCGUUAAGUCAGUGGUCAAAUUGAGGGGCUCAACCCCUUCCCGCCAUUGAAACUGGAAGACUUGAGUGUGUUUGAGGUAGGCGGAAUGCGUGGUGUAGCGGUGAAAUGCAUAGAUAUCACGCAGAACUCCGAUUGCGAAGGCAGCUUACUAAGCCAUAACUGACGCUGAAGCACGAAAGCGUGGGGAUCGAACAGGAUUAGAUACCCUUGUAGUC